rnacentral:rRNA from 1 species
GACGAACGCUGGCGGCGUGCUUAACGCAUGCAAGUCGAACGGAAAGGCCCUGCUUUUGUGGGGUGCUCGAGUGGCGAACGGGUGAGUAACACGUGAGUAACCUGCCCUUGACUUUGGGAUAACUUCAGGAAACUGGGGCUAAUACCGGAUAGGAGCUCCUGCUGCAUGGUGGGGGUUGGAAAGUUUCGGCGGUUGGGGAUGGACUCGCGGCUUAUCAGCUUGUUGGUGGGGUAGUGGCUUACCAAGGCUUUGACGGGUAGCCGGCCUGAGAGGGUGACCGGCCACAUUGGGACUGAGAUACGGCCCAGACUCCUACGGGAGGCAGCAGUGGGGAAUAUUGCACAAUGGGCGGAAGCCUGAUGCAGCAUCUCCGCUUGCGGGAUGACGGCCUUCGGGUUGUAAACCGUUUUCGCCUGUGACGAAGCGUGAGUGACGGUAAUGGGUAAAGAAGCACCGGCUAACUACGUG